GCCGCCUGUCCUUAGCCUCCGCCAUGACGACUGUGUCCACCUCGCAGGUGCACCAGAACUACCACCAGGACUCAGAGGCCGCCGUCAACCGCCACGUCAACCUGUAACUCUAGGCUUCCUACGUUUACCUGUCCAUGUCUUACUACUUUGACUGCGAUGAUGUGGCUUUGAAGAACUUUGCCAAAUACUGUCUUCACCAAUCUCAUGAGGAAAGGGAACAUGCCGAGAAACUGAUGAAGCUGCAGAACCAAGGAGGUGGCCGAAUCUUCCUUCAGGAUGUCAAGAAACCAGACUAUGACGACUGAGAGAGCGGGCUGAAUAAAUGUGAAUCGGUCACUACUGGAACUGCACAAACUGGCCACUGACAAAAAUGACCCCCAUUUGUGUGACUUCAUUGAGACACAUUACCUGAAUGAGCAGGUGAAAGCCAUCAAAGAAUUGGGUGACCAUGUGACCAACUUGCGCAAGAUGGGAGCACCCGAAUCCGACUUGGCAGAGUAUCUCUUUGACAAGCACACCCUGGGAGACAGUGAUAAUGAAAGCUAAGCCUCAGGCUAAUUUCCCCGUAGCCAUGGGGUGACUUCCCUGGUCACCAAGGCAGUGCAUGCAUGUUGGGGUUUCCUUUACCUUUUCUAUAAGUUGUACCAAAACAUCCACUUAAAUUCUUUGAUUUGUACCAUUCCUUCAAAUAAAGAAAUUUGGUAC